rnacentral:rRNA from 1 species
UAGGGAAUCUUCGGCAAUGGGGGGAACCCUGACCGAGCAACGCCGCGUGAGUGAAGAAGGUUUUCGGAUCGUAAAGCUCCGUUGUUAAGGAAGAACGAGUGUGAGAAUGGAAAGUUCAUACUGUGACGGUACUUAACCAGAAAGGGACGGCUAACUACGUGCCAGCAGCCGCGGUAAUACGUAGGUCCCGAGCGUUGUCCGGAUUUAUUGGGCGUAAAGCGAGCGCAGGCGGUUAGAUAAGUCUGAAGUUAAAGGCAGUGGCUCAACCAUUGUAGGCUUUGGAAACUGUUUAACUUGAGUGCAGAAGGGGAGAGUGGAAUUCCAUGUGUAGCGGUGAAAUGCGUAGAUAUAUGGAGGAACACCGGUGGCGAAAGCGGCUCUCUGGUCUGUAACUGACGCUGAGGCUCGAAAGCGUGGGGAGCGAACAGG